ACUAGAUCCUUUAGGUGGUGGUGCCCCCUUCCAGAGUGUGGUUUCACGUGUGUCCUCUUGGAAUUUCGCUUUUAUCAUUUUGAUCCUGUGGGCCUAUAGGUGAAAUGCCUAAUCCGCAACAAGCUUCUUGGUUAUAAUAACAAUACAUCUUCCAUGUUGAGGCAUUACCGUGCCCUUCAUGAGAAAGAGGAGACACCCACAGCACCUGCUGGGACUUGCACACCUUCCAGGAAAAAGGUAAUGGACGAGGCCUAGUGGACAUGGUGGUGAAGGAUAGCCAGCCUUUUACUAUGGUCAACGACCAGGGAUUCAGGGGGCUGGUAAAAUUACUGGACCCUUCAUAUGUUCUGCCCACCAGACAGGCUUUAAAGGCCAUGGUGGAGGAACUGGACUUGAGCAUCUGCGUACAAGUGCCAGAAGAAUUGUAACACUCUUUCGGUCUAGUACCAAGGAAAGUCUAGCCCAGAUGCAGCAACGCAUGGGAAGACCAAUGCGUAAGCUGCUGAAGGAGGUUGAGACGAGGUGGAACAGCACCUAUAAUGUUGGAGAGGCUGCAUUCAGAUAGAGAAGCUCUUUGAUCCAUCCACACUGACAUGGCCCAACAACUCACCAAAUCAAUACAACUGAGGUUAAUGGAAUCCCUUAGCCGCUCCCCAAAGACCAGUAUCCUGACCCUCUAUACUCUCCUGGACCCACGUUUCAAAUCCCUCGGCUUCCUCACUCCAACCAAGGCUGAUGAAGCUGUGAAUAGGCUCACCACUGAGUGUAGUCAAGUGAUAGGUGAAAAACCGGUACAAUCAUUUCCACUUGUAUCAGCAGCGAUCCAUGAAGUCCCUUCCACCUCCUCUGGUCAACUGUGGCGACAUUUGGAUGCAACUGUGCAGAGGAGCAGACAAAUUCAUAGUGCCACAGCAGAUGCCAUCGUAGAGGUCCAGCGCUAUUUAAGAGAACCUCACAUCAACCGAAAUGAUGAUCCACUCCAAUACUGGGAACUGCACAAACUAUUAUUUCCACACCUCUACAUUUUGUCAUUGAAAUUUUUGUGUACCCCUGCAUCCUCUAUCCCCUGUGAGCGUGUUUCUAAAUAAAAAUCAUUAGCCAA
ensembl:lncRNA